rnacentral:rRNA from 1 species
AACGAACGCUGGCGGCAUGCCUAACACAUGCAAGUCGAACGAUCCCUUCGGGGAUAGUGGCGCACGGGUGCGUAACGCGUGGGAACCUGCCCUUAGGUUCGGAAUAACUCAGAGAAAUUUGAGCUAAUACCGGAUAAUGUCUUCGGACCAAAGAUUUAUCGCCUUUGGAUGGGCCCGCGUUGGAUUAGCUAGUUGGUGGGGUAAAGGCCUACCAAGGCGACGAUCCAUGGCUGGUCUGAGAGGAUGAUCAGCCACACUGGGACUGAGACACGGCCCAGACUCCUACGGGAGGCAGCAGUGGGGAAUAUUGGACAAUGGGCGAAAGCCUGAUCCAGCAAUGCCGCGUGAGUGAUGAAGGCCUUAGGGUUGUAAAGCUCUUUUACCCGGGAUGAUAAUGACAGUACCGGGAGAAUAAGCCCCGGCUAACUCCGUG